AGUGAACGCUGGCGGUAGGCCUAACACAUACAAGUCGAACGGCAGCACAGUAAGCGCUUGCUCUUACGGGUGGCGAGUGGCGGACGGGUGACGAAUACAUCGGAAUCUACUUUUUCGUGGGGGAUAACGGAGGGAAACUUACGCUAAUACCGCAUACGACCUACGGGUGAAAGCAGUGGAUCUUCGGACCUUGCGCGAUUCAAUGAGCCGAUGUCGGAUUAGCUAGUUGGCGGGGUAAAGGCCCACCAAGGCGACGAUCCGUAGCUGGUCUGAGAGGAUGAUCAGCCACACUGGAACUGAGACACGGUCCAGACUCCUACGGGAGGCAGCAGUGGGGAAUAUUGGACAAAGGGCGAAAGCCUGAUCCAGCCAUACCGCGUGGGUGAAGAAGGCCUUCGGGUUGUAAAGCCCUUUUGUUGGGAAAGAAAAGCAGCAGGUUAAUACCUCGAUGUUCUGACGGUACCCAAAGAAUAAGCACCGGCUAACUUCGUG
rnacentral:rRNA from 1 species